AAAUGAAUUUCAGUAUAAUAAAGUUGUAUCGUAUCGUAAAAGUUAACAUAAGCUAGCUUAACGUUAGCCAACUGUUAUCAAUUUCAAAAGCUAACGUUUACCAACUGACAUUAGCAUUUAAACAUUAACGUAGAAGCAGGCUGUCUGAACCGUUGCAGAGUUCUAUAUCAGUUAGUAGUGACGUCAAUAAGCUACUUGCUGUCGUUAACUUGCUGAGUUAAAGUAUAAAGUCUUACCUUCAUAUCUCAUGUCGAUCAAAACAAGAACAUACGGGAUCAGUCGCAGCGGAGCAGCGGACUCAAGCAGGCCGGGUCGUGGGUGACUGUGAUUGGCUGGGAUUGUUUGGAAAACACCGCCCACAUCUGCUGGCUCAACGGAGAGGAGCCACGGCAGCAUAAGACCGGUCAUGAUAUACCGGUUGGAGAAGUAGUUUGAAGUGGUCAAGACUAUGCUAUCUACCUCCGACCAUGUCCAGAUCUCCGUGGGCAUGGUGGAACACACCAAGAUCCAUCCAGCUACACAGACCACAAAGCAGCCGAUCUCCAUGUACAUCAC